rnacentral:rRNA from 1 species
CAGAGACCUCAAGCGUUAUCCGGAAUCAUUGGGCGUAAAGCGUACCGAUAGGUGGUUUGGUUAGUCUUGGGUGAAAUCCUGAAGCUCAACUUCAGGUUUGCUCAAGAAACGGCCGAGACUAGAGGGGCAAAGAGGAGACUGGAACGAACGGUGUAGUAGUGAAAUGCGUUGAUAUCGUUCGGAACACCGAAAGCGAAGGCAGGUCUCUGGGUGCCUCCUGACACUGCUAGGACGAAAGCGUGGGUAGCGAAUGGGAUUAGAUACCCCAGUAGUCCACGCUGUAAACGAUGAGUGCUAGGCAUGCGCGAGUAUCGACCCUCGUGCGAGCCGUAGCUAACGCGUUAAGCACUCCGCCUGGGGAGUACGGCCGCAAAGGCUAA